AGCGAACGCUGGCGGCAGGCCUAACACAUGCAAGUCGAACGAAGUCUUCGGACUUAGUGGCGGACGGGUGAGUAACACGUGGGAACGUACCUUUUGGUUCGGAACAACUCAGGGAAACUUGAGCUAAUACCGGAUGAGCCCUUAGGGGGAAAGAUUUAUCGCCGAAAGAGCGGCCCGCGUUAGAUUAGCUAGUUGGUGAGGUACAGGCUCACCAAGGCUACGAUCUAUAGCUGGUCUGAGAGGAUGAUCAGCCACACUGGGACUGAGACACGGCCCAGAUUCGUACGGGAGGCAGCAGUGGGGAAUCUUGCGCAAUGGGCGAAAGCCUGACGCAGCCAUGCCGCGUGAAUGAUGAAGGUCUUAGGAUUGUAAAAUUCUUUUACCAGGGACGAUAAUGACGGUACCUGGAGAGAAAGCCCCGGCUAACUUCGUGCCAGCCGCCGCGGUAACAC
rnacentral:rRNA from 1 species